GAUGAACGCUGGCGGCGUGCUUAACACAUGCAAGUCGAACGAUGAACCUCACCUGUGGGGGGAUUAGUGGCGAACGGGUGAGUAACACGUGAGUAACCUGCCCUUGACUCUGGGAUAAGCCUGGGAAACCGGGUCUAAUACUGGAUACGAACUUCUGGCGCCUGCCAUGUGGGUGGAAGGCUUUUGUGGUUUUGGAUGGACUGGCGGCCUAUCAGCUUGUUGGUGGGGUAAUGGCCGACCAAGGCGACGACGGGUAGCCGGCCUGAGAGGGUGACCGGCCAUACUGGGACUGAGACGCGGUCCAGAAUCCUACGGGAGGCAGCGGGGGGGAAUAGUGCGGAAUGGGCGCAAGCCGGAUGCAGCGACGCGGCGCGAGGGAGGAAGGCGUUCGGGUUGUAAACCUCUUUCAGUAGGGAAGAAGCCGGCUUUUGGGUUGGUGACGGUACCUGCAGAAGAAGCGCCGGCUAACUACGUG
rnacentral:rRNA from 1 species